UCUUAGUGCCUAUAACUACAA
rnacentral:siRNA from 1 species